GAUGAACGCUGGCGGCGUGCCUAAUACAUGCAAGUCGAGCGAACGGACGAGAAGCUUGCUUCUCUGAUGUUAGCGGCGGACGGGUGAGUAACACGUGGAUAACCUACCUAUAAGACUGGGAUAACUUCGGGAAGCCGGAGCUAAUACCGGAUAAUAUUUUGAACCGCAUGGUUCACGAGUGAAAGACGGUCUUUCUGUCACUUAUAGCUGGAUCCGCGCUGCAUUAGCUAGUUGGUAAGGUAACGGCUUACCAAGGCAACGAUGCAUAGCCGACCUGAGAGCGAGGUCGGCCACACUGGAACUGAGGCAAGGCACAGACGCCUAGGGGAGGCAGCAGUAGCGAAUCGUCCGCAAGGGGCGAAAGCAUAAUGUAGCAACACGGCGGGAGUGAUGAAGGACUUAGGAUCGUAAAACGCUGAUAUUCGUGAAGAAGAUAUGUGCAAGUAACCGUGCAGAUAUUGACGGUACCUGGUGAGAAAGCCCCGGCUAACUACGUG
rnacentral:rRNA from 1 species